CCUACGGGAGUCAGCAGUCGAGAAUCAUUCACAAUGGGGGAAACCCUGAUGGUGCGACGCCGCGUGGGGGAAUGAAGGUCUUCGGAUUGUAAACCCCUGUCAUGUGGGAGCAAAUUAAAAAGAUAGUACCACAAGAGUAAGAGACGGCUCACUCUGUGCCAGCAGCCGCGGUAAUACAGAGGUCUCAAGCGUUGUUCGGAAUCACUGGGCGUAAAGCUUGAGUAGGCUGUUUCGUAAGUCGUGUGUGAAAUGCGCGGGCUCAACCCGCGGACGGCACAUGAUACUGCGAGACUAGAGUAAGGGAGGGGGAACCGGAAUUCUCGGGGUAGCAGUGAAAUGCGUAGAUAUCGAGAGGAACACUCGUGGCGAAGGCGGGUUCCUGGACAUUAACUGACGCUGAGGCACGAAGGCCAGGGGAGCGAAAGGGAUUAGAUACCCGGGUAGUC
rnacentral:rRNA from 1 species